rnacentral:lncRNA from 1 species
GACAGGGCAGAUAGGUGCAAGUUCCUGUCACCUGAGGAGGACUUUGUUGUUUUGUUUGUUUGUUUCUGAACCCCAGUCUCGUUCUGUCACCCAGGCUGGAGCACAGUGGUGUGAUCUCGGCUCACUGCAAACUCUGCCUCCCAGGUUCAAGCGAUUCUCCCACCUCAGCCUACCGAGUAGCUGGUACUACAGGGGUGCGUCACCACGCCUAGCUAAUUUUUGUAUUUUUAGUAGAGAUGGGGUUUCACCAUGUUGGUCUCUAACUCCUGACCUCUAGUGAUCCGCCCCCCUUGGCCUCCCAAAGUGCUGGGAUAACAGAUGUGAGCCACCGUGCCUGGCCAGGACUUUGGCUUUUAUGCCCAGCGAGGUGGGAGGUAUAGAGGGUUCUGAGCAGAGGAAGGACCUUGCCCUAACUCAAGUGUUCACAGGGGCCCAGUUGAGGCUUCAAGAGCUGCAGCCAGGAGAUGGGAGAGGAGGUGACUGUUCUAGUCCAGAUGAAUGAUAGUGGGGCCUGGACUGGGCAGUGUCCUUGGAGAAAGGGCUGAAUUUGACAUCCGUUUUGGAGGCUGGGCCAACUGGAGGUGCUGGGACAAGGGGGAUGACUCCUUGAUCAGGGUCCGAGCCUUUUGGAGGAUGGCGGGUCACUUUCUGAGAUGGGAGUGGGAUGGCUAUGGUAGGGGGCAGGCUGGCAGAGAGAGACGGCACCUCCCAGUCCUCCGUUCCCUUAAGCGUUUUUCAAGGAAAAGGGAAGCAGAUAUUUCCUAGACCUUUGUUUCUGUCUCCAGGAAGGGCAGGGCUUCCUCCCGGUUGCCAGACAGUCAGGCAGGCCAAAGAAUGGCCUCAGACCAGAGGCUGCCCACCAAGGGCAGAAGCCAUCCCAUAGUGUCCCAUGCAAACGCCUUGCAGUUCCCUCAGCCUGGAAUGCUCUUCCCUUCAACCCCAACAAGGCUGGCUCCUCCUGUCUUGUGGCCUGAGCUUUCUCCUAAAUGAGUGUCCCCCCUACUCCAUCCUGGGCCACAUCCUGGGCGUUCCUUGUCACUCGCCUUAAUAUUCGAAUUCCUUAACUCAUUACUUGCUGAAUUUCUUUUUUAAUUUUUUGAGACAGAGUUUCACUCUGUCACCCUGGCUAGAGUGCAGUGGCACGAUCUCAGCUCACUGCAACCCCUGCCUCCCAGGUUUAAGUGAUUCUCCUGCCUCAGCCUCCCGAGUAGCUGGGAUUACAGACAUACGCCACCAGACCCGGCUAAUUUUUGUGUUUUUAGUAGAGACGGGGUUACACCAUGUUGGCCAGCCUGGUCUCAAACUCCUGACCUCAAGUGAUCCACCUGCCUUGGCCUCCCAAAGGGCUGGGAUUAUAGGCAUGAGCCACUGCUCCCGGCCUAUUUAGUUUUUUUUUUUUUUUUUUUUUUGAGACAAAGUCUCGCUCUGUUGUCCAGGCUGGAGUACAGAGGUGUGAUCUCGGCUCACUGCAACCUCCGUUUCCUAGGUUCAAGAAAUUCUUCUGCCUUAGCCUCCCAAAUAGCUGGGAUUACAGGCACCCACCAACACCCCUGGCUAACUUUUGUAUUUUUUUUUUUUUUCAAGAUGGAGUCUCACUCUGUGGCCCAGGCUGGAGUGCAGUGGUGCGAUCUCGGCUCACUGCAACCUCCACCUCCCAGGUUCAAGUGAUUCUCCUGCCUCAGCCUCCCAAAUAGCUGGGACUACAGGUGCGUGUCACCACGCACAGCUAAUUUUUUGUAUUUUUAGUAGAGACAGGGUUUCACCGUGUUAGCCAGGAUGGUCUCGAUCUUCUUACCUCAUUAUCUGCCUGCCUCACCCUCCCAAAGUGCUGGGAUUACAGGCGUGAGCAAACGCACCCGGCCAACUUUUGUAUUUUUAUUUUACUUUUCAUUUUAUUUAUGUAAAUUUUUGUGAGGUCGUCUCACUCCGUCGCCCAGGCUGGAGUGCAGUGGUGCAAUCUCGGCUCACUGCAACCUCUACUUCCCAGGUUCAAGCGAUUCUCUUGCCUCAGCCUCCCAGGUAGCUGAGACUACAGGUACCCACCACCACAUCUAGCUAAUUUUUGUAUUUUUAGUAGAGAUGAGGUUUUACCAUGUUGGCCUGGCAGGUCUAGAACUCCUGACCUCAGGUGAUCCGCCCGCCUUGGCCUCCAAAAGGCGUGAGCCACUGUGCCCGGCAGAGCUUAUCUUUGAUUACAGAUUUCUUCUGGGGAAUAGCUUAGUUUGUGGUUUUGUUUUUCAAAACUCUGCUUCAGCAAAGAUGUGGGGAAAAAAAAAGGGCUAUGGAAACUCUUCUGAUUCCAGUUUUGGUGAUGGAAGACAGCCACCAGGAAACCCUGCCGAAAGAAUGGGUCAGAUCAAUAAUCUGAGCGGUCCCAGUCCUCCUCCAAUGGCUGAUGGAUGAGGAAGUCAAAUCUGCUGCUUCAAGGAUCAAAGUCUAUGUCCACUGAGGGUGUUUGGAGAAUGUGUUGCAAUCUCUGAAGGCAAUCCCAAGAGAGGCAUUCCAGAGAGGUUUUCAGCCAGGGGUGGCCCAGCAGGAAGUCACUCUGAAAACUCAGGUUUACACAACAUCUACUUGUACAAUCAAGCACACACUCUCAGGCUGCAUGAAGUACUGUCGCAGACAGGACUGCAAACCCUCUCAGGGCAGGAGAGGGAUGUGGCAGGAGUCAGCUCCUAGGAAGUGCCAGCGCCCACGCACCUGUGAGCUCCUGGAGUCUGACUCACCGGGUAAGUGAAUUCUUGUAAUUUCCACAAACAGCCCUGGGGUUCCCCUAAACCAGACCGUGAGCCUCUUGAGACGGCGGAUCCCCAACAGUGCCCAGAACCUGGGAAGGAGCUCAUCGUUCUCAAUGCAAUUAUCAAAAAUGACACUGAGAAGUUAUCUUUAUCCUCCUUGAUUCAAAAAUACAAUUUAUUUUAAAAACAAAAAGAGGGAAUGGAUGCAGAAGCCCGUCUGGGCUUUCCGUGGAGUCGCCCCUUCCCAAUGGCGAUGGCCGCUCCCUGUGGCCUCAGCUUCCUCCGUGGAAUGAAGGGGUCCAGGUGACACCUUCCUCGAAGGGUGGGCGUGGGCCUGAGGCUCCCAAGUCGGCCAGGGGCUCGGCCUGGCUCAGAAGAGGUGCUUCACAUCAACAGUGGUACGGGGUGGCCGCUGGGCCCUGGGUAGCGUGGGGUAGGGGUCGGGGGAAGUCGCUGUAGGGCAGGCUGAAGGGGUAGAGGGGUCUGUAACGUGAGUCCUGCCAGAGCAGCUUGUCCUCCAGGAAGGCGACGGUGGGCAGCGUCAGGACCAGCGUCUGGUGCUUGAGCAUGCUGUGCACAU